rnacentral:rRNA from 1 species
CGUACACUCCUGCGGGAUGCAGCAGUGGGGAAUAUUGGACAAUGGGCGCAAGCCUGAUCCAGCCAUGCCGCGUGAGUGAUGAAGGCCCUAGGGUUGUAAAGCUCUUUCACCGGUGAAGAUAAUGACGGUAACCGGAGAAGAAGCCCCGGCUAACUUCGUGCCAGCAGCCGCGGUAAUACGAAGGGGGCUAGCGUUGUUCGGAUUUACUGGGCGUAAAGCGCACGUAGGCGGACUAUUAAGUCAGGGGUGAAAUCCCGGGGCUCAACCCCGGAACUGCCUUUGAUACUGGUAGUCUUGAGUUCGAGAGAGGUGAGUGGAAUUCCGAGUGUAGAGGUGAAAUUCGUAGAUAUUCGGAGGAACACCAGUGGCGAAGGCGGCUCACUGGCUCGAUACUGACGCUGAGGUGCGAAAGCGUGGGGAGCAAACAGGAUUAGAUACCCCAGUAGUCCCAUG